UGUGGGAGCGGGCUUGCUCGCGAAAACGCUGGUUCAGUCGACAUCAAUGUUGAAUGAAAGAUCGAUUUCGCGAGCAAGCCCGCUCCCACA
rnacentral:misc_RNA from 1 species